AUCUUCCAUCAUUUUCUCCAGAGCAUCCACCGACAAUAGAGGAUUAGAUUUUCCCGUUGAUGAGGUACUGUCAGAUGUAUUUGAACCAAAUCCCGACUGUGAAGCAGCUCCAUUUUGAGUUACCUGAUCAACAGUUACCGCAGCUGUCUCAGCUGAGUCCUUAAAAUUUUCAAAGGCACCCUUCUGGAAUGUUUCAUCAGGAGAAAUGUCAACAAAAGCAUUUUUCUUUGGCUCCUUUUCAGCCUCUUUAUCAUUUUUGACAUUGACAGUGGGAGGUUCCUCCACUUUAGUUGCGGAUACAUCAACAGUCACUGGCUGAGAUGCAAAUGAAGCUGAUGGUGUAGAUGAGCUAGAUGCAGUAGGUGGUGGAGGUGAUGAACUAGCUGGACCGGACACUGGAGGUGGUGGGAAUGGAAAAGGAAAAGGUGACCCAGGUCCAGGUGAAAAGGCAGUGUUGCUAAACUGACUAUUCUGGCCAUUCAUUUGUCCCAUCAUUGUUUUGAGCGCUUGCUGCAUAGCGUACUUCUUUAGGUAUGAAGCCACCCAUGCGAAAAGUGCUGAAAAACCAACACCAACUCCAAUCCAAAAAAGAGGAGACCCCAUUUGAGAUGGUGGUGAUGGAGCUGAAAAUUGUGGAUUUACACCAACUGAAGAAGUCUGUUUGCCACCUGAAGUUGUAGUGCUAGCAAAAGAACCCCUCCCUGAUUUUCCCAGCACAAUCUUUUUAGUGAGCCUUGGACCCUGAAAACAAGAAACCACUUCAAAACAAGUUGUGGGUCUGACAGUUCUUCCAUUCUUGAAGGGUCUUUUGGGUAGAUGAGGAAGGCCAAAGAAGGGUUUGCUUGAAAUUACUGAGUUUGAAGAGAGACCCAAUACCAUUUUAGGUGAAGAAACUAUACCUAUGUUCUCCAUCACCUUGAAAAAUACUCAAUUUUUAGCUGAUACUUCACCUUAUUACAGAAGAAGAAGAUCAGAACUGCAAAAAUGAUAUCUCCUUUUCGCUUAUUUUGCAACAAAGAAGAGAGGUGUAA
rnacentral:misc_RNA from 1 species